AACGAACGCUGGCGGCAUGCCUAACACAUGCAAGUCGAACGAAACCUUCGGGUCUAGUCGCGCACGGGUUCGUAACGCGUGGGAACCUGCCCUUAGGUUCGGAAUAACUCCCCGAAAGGGGUGCUAAUACCGGAUCAUGUCUUCUGACCAAAGAUUUAUCGCCCUUGGAUGGGCCCGCGUUGGAUUCGCUAGUUGGUAGGGUAAAAGCAUCCCAAGGCGACGAUCCAUAACUUGUAUGAGAGGCUGGUCAGCCACACUGAGACUGAGAGGCGGCCCAGACUCGUACGGGAGGGAGGAGAGGGGAAUAUUGGACAAUCGGCGGAGGGAUGAAGCACCACGGACGGGUAAGUGAUGAAGGCAUUAGGGUUGUAAAGCUCUUGUACCCGGGAUGAUAAUGACAGUACCGGGAGAAUAAGCCCCGGCUAACUCCGUG
rnacentral:rRNA from 1 species